GUUCAGAACUACAUGUAGGUAGGUAGAUGGAUGAGAAUGAGAUACCUUUUUCCUUUUUCUUCAGUUUAUCUAGAUCGGCCGAUCGCCAAGGCAUGUAGCUGUUUGUGAUUAGUAUUGGAAGUGCAAGCAUUCUCACAUAGAUAAAAGAAAAUGGUUGUAAUCCGCGCAGAGAGUGAUUCUCUCUAAUUCAUGGGAGCGCUUAAUCGCCGUGAAGAUUCAGCGGUUAGCUCUCACUAAUUCAGGUCGAGCACCUGCACCACGACGGCGGCAGUCACUAUACGGAUAUCAGGCCAGUUGCAUAUUUCUUGCCUAAUAUUUUUAUUUAUUGUUGCAGACUGGGGAAGGAUGCCGAAGAUGUAGAGGUUGUUGCCCCAGUGACGCUGGAGCCCAUUCAAAGGAACAGAAGAUGCGCGUUUUUCCUCCUGACCAUUUGAGUGGUGUUCUGUGCAAUUUAUGCUUGUUUUGAAAAUUUGGUUAUAGACGUCGAAUUUAUCUCCAAUCAUCUGUUGUACUAUAUCUUCUACAAUCUUUCAUAUUUUAGCAUGAAUUUUUUAAAAUUUGUGGUAGGAAGCUUGUAUGCCAUUCAUGGAUUGGACAACAUACAUGUGCUAUUUUCUUUUGAUUAUCCCCUUCCAGACUGUUCGGGGUUUCUAGAUCAGAAUAGUUUGUCCAAUAUACCUCUUUGGAUCUCAGAGAAUUCAGAAUAAGUUCUUACAACAAUCCUUACU
rnacentral:lncRNA from 1 species